CAAGUCGAACGAUGAUGCCCAGCUUGCUGGGUGGAUUAGUGGCGAACGGGUGAGUAACACGUGAGUAACCUGCCCCUGACUCUGGGAUAAGCGUUGGAAACGACGUCUAAUACUGGAUAUGAUCACUGGCCGCAUGGUCUGGUGGUGGAAAGAUUUUUUGGUUGGGGAUGGACUCGCGGCCUAUCAGCUUGUUGGUGAGGUAAUGGCUCACCAAGGCGACGACGGGUAGCCGGCCUGAGAGGGUGACCGGCCACACUGGGACUGAGACACGGCCCAGACUCCUACGGGAGGCAGCAGUGGGGAAUAUUGCACAAUGGGCGAAAGCCUGAUGCAGCAACGCCGCGUGAGGGAUGACGGCCUUCGGGUUGUAAACCUCUUUUAGUAGGGAAGAAGCGAAAGUGACGGUACCUGCAGAAAAAGCACCGGCUAACUACGUGCCAGCAGCCGCGGUAAUACGUAGGGUGCAAGCGUUGUCCGGAAUUAUUGGGCGUAAAGAGCUCGUAGGCGGUUUGUCGCGUCUGCUGUGAAAUCCCGAGGCUCAACCUCGGGCUUGCAGUGGGUACGGGCAGACUAGAGUGCGGUAGGGGAGAUUGGAAUUCCUGGUGUAGCGGUGGAAUGCGCAGAUAUCAGGAGGAACACCGAUGGCGAAGGCAGAUCUCUGGGCCGUAAACUGACGCUGAGGAGCGAAAGCAUGGGGAGCGAACAGGAUUAGAUACCCKGGUAGUCCAUGCCGUAAACGUUGGGCGCUAGAUGUAGGGACCUUUCCACGGUUUCUGUGUSGUAGCUAANCGCAUUAAGCGCCCCGCCUGGGGNAGUACGGCCACAAGGAUAAAACUCAAAGGAAUUGACGGGGGCCCGCACAAGCGGCGGAGCAUGCGGAUUAAUUAGAUGCAACGCGAAGAACCUUUCCAAGGCUUGACAUACACCGGAAACGGCCAGAGAUGGUCGCCCCCUUGUGGUCGGUGUACAGGUGGUGCAUGGUUGUCGUCAGCUCGUGUCGUGAGAUGUUGGGUUAAGUCCCGCAACGAGCGCAACCCUCGUUCUAUGUUGCCAGCGGGUUAUGCCGGGGACUCAUAGGAGACUGCCGGGGUCAACUCGGAGGAAGGUGGGGAUGACGUCAAAUCAUCAUGCCCCUUAUGUCUUGGGCUUCACGCAUGCUACAAUGGCCGGUACAAAGGGCUGCGAUACCGUAAGGUGGAGCGAAUCCCAAAAAGCCGGUCUCAGUUCGGAUUGAGGUUUGCAACUCGACCUCAUGAAGUCGGAGUCGCUAGUAAUCGCAGAUCAGCAACGCUGCGGUGAAUACGUUCCCGGGCCUUGUACACACCGCCCGUCAAGUCAUGAAAGUCGGUAACACCCGAAGCCGGUGGCCUA
rnacentral:rRNA from 1 species